AAGACCUUAUUUCUGGGAUCAUUUCUACAAUUUGUUACUAGAGAAGUUGCUCUUAAUGCAUAGAGCGUCCAAUACCUAUCCUCGAAUGCUUCCAAAAAAUUGAAAGUGAGGG